UUGCCUUCCUCCGUGCCCAAUAACAGUUAGUAAAAAUAGUCAAAGAUUUUCCCAGCCAGUCAUUUGGAGUCUCUUCUAAUCGCUAUGUCCAUGUAUAGCACUGCUUUGGGUAAUCACUAAAAAGGGUCAUGAACUGUUCUCUCUCUGGUCCUGCUGAGGAUCUGUGCUGCCCAUGUCAUGUGAUUGUAACUCUGGGUCAUUGGCCUCCAGACCAGGUACGGUGACAGAGUCCACUGACAGGUGAGCGUGGAGGCCUGGAGAGGCCCGUUCACUCUGCUUUCUGAGCAGUGGAGCCAGGACUCAAACCCAGCCAUCUAGAUUGCGAGGUUCACAGAUAAUCGACUAUUAUGACUGGUUCCCAUUUUUGUCCAAGGCUAGUUUUGUUCAGCAGUUGCAGAUAAUAGCAAUAUAAUACUGGAAGAACUCAAAACAGCAUACAAAAAAAAAAAAAAAAAGCAACAUGAUGAACUUGGAUCCUAUAGGGGAAUGGAUGUUCUUGGAAAAGUGGCAAAUCAAAGUGGAGUGAAAUCAGUGACUCAGUACAGCUUAAAGUUUCAACAUAAAAAUAAUAAUAGUGGGACAAGGGAGAUAGCAUAAUAGUUAUGCAAAGAGACUCUCACACCUGAGCCUCCAGUGUCCCAGAUUCAAUCCUCUGCACCAACACAAGACAGAACUGAGCAGCACUCUGGUAAAAUAAUAAUAAAAUAAAAUAAAAUAAUAAUAAUAAUAAUGCAGUGGAUAGAGCAUUGACCUCAAAAGCAUCAGGUCCUGAAUUCAAUUCCCAGUAUCAAAUGUGCCAGAGCGAUAUUCUGCGUUCUCUCACCACUUUCUUUUUUUUAAUUCUCUUUAUUUAUUUACUGGAUAGAGGCAGCCAGAAAUCGAGAGAGAAGGGGGUGCUAGAGAGGGAGAGAGACAGAGAGACACCUGCAGUCCUGCUUCACCACUUGUGAAACUUUGCCCCUGCAGGUGGGGACCAGGGGCUUGAACCCGGGUCCUUGUGCACUGUCACAUGUGUGCUCAACCAGGUGUCACCUCCAUCUUUAUCGUUGAUAAAUAAAUUUAAAAUAAGAAUAGAAUGACAUAGCAGCAUAAUAGUAAUGUAAUGGUAUUUGUCUUGAUUGAGAAACUGGAUAAUGAAAAAGCAGUGGUGAAGUCCAUUACAUUUUAGUUAAUUUAUGUCGAGGUCUUGAACACAUACUUGAACAAGACAGUCAGAAGAGCCAUGCAGAUGCUUUCCUGGCCCCUGUAGGUUUUACAGCCUGCAGGGUGGGCAUUCCUGAAGCAAGGAUUUUUCUAGAGCUGAGAUGCACAUGAGAACGUCGUCCCAGAGAAGAUUCCACUGCCUAAAUCAUGUUCCCUUCAGAGUGCAAUGUCACUCAGCAUCGGCCAGUUUGAGCAGCCUGGGCUCCAGACCCGAGUCAGCUGAGAGGCCCCUCCCUCCAGGGUCCACAUUCAAAUCCAGGAAGGUGGGGCUGGUGUUGGAGCACAGUAGAAUGAAGACUGUAUAAAUAUAGAAAAGUCUGUUUUGUUCUGGUAAAGCCUUAGUAUAAGGUUUUUACUCUGUGCACAACACAUUUUGAAGAAGUCUCCUCACUGCUUUGGCAGAAGCACCAUUUUGGGGUGGUAUUAUUAUUAUUAUUAUUAUUACUGAUUUCAUAAUGAUAGACAAGACUGUGGGAUAAGAGGGGUACAAUUCCACACAAUUCCCACCACCAGAGUUCCACAUCCCAUCCCCUCCAUUGGGAGCUUCCCUAUUCUUUAUCCCUUUGGGAGCAUGGACCCAGGAUCAUGAUGGUGCAGAAGGUGGGAAGUCUGGCUUCUAUAAUUGAGAAUCACUGUUGUUUUGUUUUGUUUUAAUGGGAAGGGAGAUGGGACCUGGGGAAUGGGCAGGAGAGUCACAAAUUUUAAUCACUCAGAAAGCCUAGACAAGUCCUAGGCUUUAAGCUCCACCUCUCAGAUUCCAGCAAGAUCCAUCUGAGGGUGACCCCAAGGACCAGACAACUUUGAGAAUCACUUCUGUCCAAGCAAGUCCUUUUCUCCCAUUUACUCAAUAUGAAAUUCUGAAAAUCUAGUCCUUGGGGGACCAGGCAGUGGGCACACGCAGUUGGGUCACCUGUUUCCACGCACAGGAAGUAGUGUUCAAGCCCCCGGUCCCAGCCCAGCUUCCGGAGCAGUGGAGCAAGUCUACAAGUAUCUUUCCCUCCCCUCUCAAUUUAUUUAUCAAAUAAAAUAGAAAGAAAGAAAAAAAAAGAGGGGGUUGGGUGGUAGCGCAGUGGGUUAAGCACACGUCGCUCAAAGCGCAAGGACCAGCCUAAGGAUCCUGGUUCAAGCCCCCGGCUCCCCACCUGCAGGGGAGUCGCUUCACAAAACGUGAAGCAGGUCUGCGGGUGUCUGUCUUUCUCCCUCUCUGUCUUCCCCUCCUCUCUCCAUUUCUCUCUGUCCUACCCAACAACAACAUCAAUAAUAACUACAACAAUAAAACAAGGGCAACAAAAGGGACUAAAUA